rnacentral:rRNA from 1 species
GACGAACGCUGGCGGCGUGCUUAACACAUGCAAGUCGAACGGGCUCUGUCUGGCUGUGUGCUGGGUGGGGUUAGUGGCGAACGGGUGAGUAAUACGUGAGUAACCUGCCCUCUUCUUUGGGAUAAGCCUUGGAAACGGGGUCUAAUACUGGAUAUUCCUGUCUGGUCGCAUGGCUGGGUGGGGAAAGUUUUUUUCGGUGGGGGAUGGGCUCGCGGCCUAUCAGCUUGUUGGUGGGGUGAUGGCCUACCAAGGCGGCGACGGGUAGCCGGCCUGAGAGGGUGACCGGCCACACUGGGACUGAGAUACGGCCCAGACUCCUACGGGAGGCAGCAGUGGGGGAUAUUGCACAAUGGGCGCAAGCCUGAUGCAGCGACGCCGCGUGGGGGAUGACGGCUUUCGGGUUGUAAACCUCUUUCGUCGGGGGACAAGGCUCUGCUUGGUGGUGGGGUUGAGGGUACCCGGGGAAGAAGCGCCGGCUAACUACGU